rnacentral:rRNA from 1 species
UACGUAGGGUGCAAGCGUUAAUCGGAAUUACUGGGCGUAAAGCGUGCGCAGGCGGUGAUGUAAGACAGUUGUGAAAUCCCCGGGCUCAACCUGGGAACUGCAUCUGUGACUGCAUUGCUGGAGUGCGGCAGGGGGGGAUGGAAUUCCGCGUGUAGCAGUGAAAUGCGUAGAUAUGCGGAGGAACACCGAUGGCGAAGGCAAUCCCCUGGGCCUGCACUGACGCUCAUGCACGAAAGCGUGGGGAGCAAACGGG